AAUCAACGCUGGCGGCGUGCCUCAGACAUGCAAGUCGAACGAUUAAGACUCUCUUCGGAGAGUGUAUAAAGUGGCGCACGGGUGAGUAACACGUAGGUAAUGUACCGAAGGGUGGGGAAUAACUUAGGGAAACUUAAGCUAAUACCGCAUAAUGCAGCGGCUCGACAUCGAGACAGUUGUUAAAGGAGCAAUCCGCCUUUUGAGCAGCCUGCGGCAGAUUAGCUAGUUGGUAAGGUAAUGGCUUACCAAGGCUACGAUCUGUAACCGACCUGAGAGGGUGGUCGGUCACACUGACACUGAAUAACGGGUCAGACUCCUACGGAGCAGCAGUCGGAAUUUUGGGCAAUGGGCGAAAGCCUGACCCAGCAACGCCGCGUGAAGGAUAGAAGUA
rnacentral:rRNA from 1 species